UCCCUGGUAGUACAGUGGUUAAGACUCUGUGUUUCCACUGCAGGGGGCAUGGGUUCAAAUCCUGGUCAGGGAA
rnacentral:tRNA from 1 species